rnacentral:rRNA from 1 species
GACGAACGCUGGCGGCGUGCUUAACACAUGCAAGUCGAACGGAAAGGCCCUGCUUUUGUGUGGUGCUCGAGUGGCGCACGGGUGAGUAACCCGUGAGUAACCUGCCCUUGACUUUGGGAUAACUUCAGGAAACUGGGGCUAAUACCGGAUAGGAGCUCCUGCUGCAUGGUGGGGGUUGGAAAGUUUCGGUGGUUGGGGAUGGACUCGCGGCUUAUCAGCUUGUUGGUGGGGUAGUGGCUUACCAAGGCUUUGACGGGUAGCCGGCCUGAGAGGGUGACCGGCCACAUUGGGACUGAGAUACGGCCCAGACGCCUACGGGAGGCAGCAGUGGGGAAUAUUGCACAAUGGGCGGAAGCCUGAUGCAGCAAUGCCGCGUGCGGGAUGACGGCCUUCGGGUUGUAAACCGCUUUCGCCUGUGACGAAGCGUGAGUGACGGUAAUGGGUAAAGAAGCACCGGCUAACUACGUG